CCCCUAGUAACGGCGAGCGAAGCGGGAAGAGCUCAAAUUUGAAAGCUGGCGUCUUCGGCGUCCGCGUUGUAAUCUCGAGACGUGUUUUCCGUGCGGCUCUAUGGACAAGUCCCUUGGAACAGGGCAUCGUAGAGGGUGAAAAUCCCGUACUUGCCAUGGAAGUACCGUGCUUUGUGAUACACGCUCCAAGAGUCGAGUAGUUUGGGAUUGCUGCUCAAAGUGGGUGGUAGACUCCAUCUAAAGCUAAAUAUCGGGGAGAGACCGAUAGCGAACAAGUACCGUGAGGGAAAGAUGAAAAGCACUUUGGAAAGAGAGUUAAAAGUACGUGAAAUUGUCGAAAGGGAAGCACUUGAAGUCAGCCAUGCUGCUUGAGACUCAGCCUGGCUUUUGCUUGGUGUAUUUCUCGGUAGCAAGCCAGCAUUGGUUUGUGUCGUCGGAGAAGCGUAUGGGGAAUGUGGCAUCCUCGGAUGUGUUAUAGCCCUGUGCAGGAUACGACGACGCAGACCAAGGAACGCAGUGUGCCCUCUGGGCGGGUCUUCGGACACCUUCACACUUAG
rnacentral:rRNA from 1 species